GAGUUAGCAAUCCGGAUGUGUUUUGUGGAAGAUUAUGCCCUAAGCCCUUAGAAGGGAGGACACUGAGUUUGGGAAAAGUCACUACCUCUGGGCUUCAUUUUUUGCCCUAAGGCAAUGAGGUUAUCCUGAUGCUGAGGAAUCUAUGGCAAAUUUUCCUUUCUCCCUCAAACUAUCCUGUCAACCUUUUCAUAUUAGAAGGCAGAGAAUGGAAAAUACACAUACACAUUCUCCUUUAAAAAAAAAAAAUACAAGGAGCCUUGAGAAAUGGACAUGAUCCGUGUAUUUCUUGACCUCUGAGAUACCAUGGCUAAUCCCAACCAACCUGCAGAAAUACUGCUUCUGGAAGUUCCAUUUGCCUCCAUUCUGAGUGCUUAUUAACCCUGAAACUUUUGUCAGCUCAGGAAAAAGCAAAAGGUUCUAAACUAACUGGCUGCGCAGUGGAACACCCUUGUUCACCUCCUCACUGGGCUCCUGGGCCUCCAACUCCUGCCCUUCAGGUUCUAGACAGGCAAUCAAAGCAAAAAUGGACAAAUGGGAUCCCAUCAAGUUAAAAGGCUUCUGCACAGCAAAAGAAACCAUCAACAAAGUGAAGAGACAACCCGCAGAGUGGGAGAAAAUAUUUGCAAACUACCCAUCUGACAAGGGAUUAAUAACCAAAAUAUAUCAGGAGCUCAAACAACUCUAUAGGAAAAAAAUCUAAUAAUCUGAUCAAAUAAUGGGCAAAAGAUUUGAAUAGCCAUUUCUCAAAAGAAGACAUGCAAAUGGCAGACAGGCACAUGAUUGAUCAUCAGAGAAAUGCAAAUGAAAACUACAAUGAGAUACCAUCUUACCCCAGUCCAAAUGGCUUAUAUCAAAAAGACAGGCAACAAUAAAUGCUGAUGAGGAUGUGGAACCCUCAUGCACUGUUGGUGGGAAUGUAAAUUAGUACAAGCACUCUGGAGAAGAGUUUGGAGGUUCCUCAAACAACUGAAAAUAGAGCUACCAUAUGGUCCAGCAAUCCCACUGCUGGGUAUGUACCCAAAAGAAAGGAAAUCAGUGUAUCAAAGAGAUGUCUGCACUCCCAUGUUUGUUGCAGCACUGUUCACAAUAGCCAAGAUUUGGAAGCAACCUAAGUGUCCAUCAACAGAUGAAUAAAGAAAAUGUGGUAAAUAUACACAACAGAGUACUAUUCAGUCGUAAAAAAGAAUGAGAUCCUGUCAUUUGCAACAACAUGGAUGGAACUGGAGGUCAUUAAUGUUAAAUGAAAUAAGCAAGGUACAGAAAGACAAACAUCACAUUUUCUCACUUAUUUGUGGGAUGUAAAAUUAAAAACGAUUGCUCAUGGAAAUAGAGAGUAGAAGGAUGAUUACCAGAGGCUAGGAAGGGUAAUGGGCGUUGAGGGGAAGAUGGGGAAAGUUAAUGGGUAUUAAAUAGAAAGAAUGAACAAGGCCUACUAUCUGAU
ensembl:lncRNA LINC02324 long intergenic non-protein coding RNA 2324